AAUUAAGAGGAAAUAGAGAGAGAGUGUGAGCUAGUCUUGGUGGGUGACUUAGAGAGAGAAGGAAAGAAAUCUUGCUGGGAUCAAGGAUUUGGUGUGUAAAAAAAAAAAAAAAAGAAGGAUCAGCUUGCAUUUGUGAAGGAAUAGAGAGAGAAAGAGUAAGAAGAAUUUAGUAAGAGAGAGAGAUUUUGGGCAAGAUUCAAGCUUUCGGGUGAUUAAGAGUAAAGAUUUAAUCUUUUAAGGGAAGAACAAGCUACUUUUAAGUUAAGAAUGAGGAUGAUGACCCGAGCCUACAAUCGAGGCAGAGAAAAGGAAAGGAGCCUGCACAUGGCGGGAGCAAUUUCCGAGGAUGCACCUGAACCUCGUAGCUAGUUAUUAUAUUUAAAUAAAUACUGUAUAACUUUUAAGUACUAUGAAGUCCUGCGUGACUAGACUUUUGGGAUAUGUACGUUGUGGAGAUGAUCCAAGGACUUGUGGAUUGGUACCCACUGAACUUAUAUUAUGGCUCUAUAUUAUAUUAACGUAUGUUUGCAGGU